rnacentral:tRNA from 1 species
GCCUGGGCGGCUCAGUAGGUUAAAGCGUCCGACUUCGUCUCAGGUCAUGAUCUCACUGUUUGUGAGUUCGAGUCCCACCUCGGGCU